UCGAUUAAGCCAUGCGAGUCGAGAGUCUUAGGGACUCGGCGUACCGCUCAGUAACACGUGGGUAACCUGCCCUGUGCUGGGGAAUAACCUCGGGAAACUGAGAAUAAUGCCCCAUAGUUCACCACGCCUGGAACGGUGGGUGGAUCAAAGCUCCGGCGGCACAGGAUGGGCCUGCGGCGUAUCAGGUCGUAGGGGGUGUAAUGUACCCUCUAGCCUUCAACGCGUACGGGUUGUGGGAGCAAUCGCCCGGAGAUGGAUUCUGAGACACGAAUCCAGACCCUACGGGGUGCAGCAGGCGCGAAAACUUCACACUGCAGGAAACUGUGAUGAGGGAAUUCCAAGUGGCCAGACAAAGUCUGGUCUUUUACCAACUUUUAAUCGGUUGGUGAAUAAGGGGUGGGAAAGACCGGUGCCAGCCGCCGCGGUAAUACCGGCACCUCAAGUGGUCGUCGCUUUUAUUGGGCCUAAAACGUCCGUCGCCUGUUUGGUACAUUCGUGGGUAAAUCAAGCCGCUUAACGGCUUGAAUUCUGCGAGGACGGCCAGACUAGGGACCGGGAGAGGUAUGGGGUACUCUCAGGGUAGGGGUAAAAUCCAGUCAUCCUGAGGGGACCACCUGUUGCGAAGGCGCCAUACUAGAACGGAUCCGACGGUCAGGGACGAAGCCUAGGGGCACGAACCGGAUUAGAUACCCGGGUAGUCCUA
rnacentral:rRNA from 1 species